rnacentral:lncRNA from 1 species
GUUUCGACUCUGAAAAAUGUGGAAAGAAGGUGUGAAUUUUGUGAUCUGGAUUGGAUAAUAUUAUACAUUUUAUAUAAAGUGAGAGAAGAUGUAGGAAUUUUGAGUUGAAGGAUGGAUGGAUAUAUGUAAGUUUAGAAAUUCAAAUUGUUUGUAUGAUUGUAGAGGCACCCAUAUUUGUUGAAGUUGUGCCUGCUCAAUCUAUAUCAAAAUGUAGUACUACUAAUGUUCUUUUUGAAUAAAAAAAAAAAAAAAAAAAAAAAAAAAUCAACCUUUUUUUGCAAAAUGAAGCCCUAUCAAUGUAUAAAACAAAGAACACAUUAA